AAGCGGUGGAUGAUGUGAUUAAUCGAUGCAACGCGAAAACCUUACCUACCUUGACAUGUCCGGAAUCCGAAGAGAUUUGGGAGUGCUCGCAAGAGAACCGGAACACAGGUGCUGCAUGGCUGUCGUCAGCUCGUGUCGUGAGAUGUUGGGUUAAGUCCCGCAACGAGUGCAACCCUUGUCAUUAGUUGCCAUCAUUUGGUUGGGCACUCUAAUGAGACUGCCGGUGACAAACCGGAGGAAGGUGGGGAUGACGUCAAGUCCUCAUGGCCCUUAUGGGUAGGGCUUCACACGUCAUACAAUGGUCGGUACAGAGGGUUGCCAACCCGCGAGGGGGAGCUAAUCCCACAAAGCCGAUCGUAGUCCGGAUCGCAGUCUGCAACUCGACUGCGUGAAGUCGGAAUCGCUAGUAAUCGUGGAUCAGCAUGUCACGGUGAAUACGUUCCCGGGUCUU
rnacentral:rRNA from 1 species